AUCAAAUACAAAUGCUAUUGACUAGAUUCAUGAGAGGUCAGGUAAUGCGUUCAAAUGUCAAAAAUGCAGUAAUUUCAUCAACUUAUCAGCGAGUGAACUUCAGAAACACUGAAAAUGAAUGAGUUCAGAGCUGGAACUAUCAGUGUUUGUAACUGCUCCACGAGACUCAUUACUUCCGCAUUCAUGCACAGUUCCUCUGGAAGCUUACGGGAGUGUCGCAACUCUGUUUUUCAACGGCUCUGGUCAGACGCAGUCAGCAGCUUUUUGUCCGGGGCUCUGUCCGGCUGAUCUUCUUAAUGCUCAAAAAGAAAAGCAAAAGUAAGGAAUACAAGCAAACUACGAAGUCAAGAUUAUCCAUACACAGUGAAUAAUACGUGAAUAUAUUCAGUGAGUCAAAAAGAGCGUUGAAGAUGCAGCGUGUUUUGAGAUGCAGUUUUCUAGUGAUCAUCUGCUGCAUCUCAUGGACAGACUCAUCUGUGAUUACAGUUACACUAAUCAGAGAAAUUGGGGAUGAUAUCUUCAUCGAAUGCGCUGUAGAUAAGACACCUCAGGAUGGAGUGUACAUGUACAAACAAGGAGCAGCAAAUAAACAACAGGAAAUCUUCUACUUCUACAAACCAUCUUACCUAUAAAACAAUGAAUGAAUCCAAAAUCAGUGUAAGUGGAGCCCUUCCCAACCUUACCGUCACCCUCUUAAAAGCAACUGCUGAGGACAUUGGGCUUUACUGGUGUGAAUUUAAUUUGGAAGAAAAAACUGCCGUUGGCAAGUUCACUUGGUUAUGGAUAGAAAAAUCAGAAGAAGAAAAAAAAAGAGUGCCCAGAAGAAGUUCUUCGCUAUGAGAAAAACUUACUAAUUUUGUUUGCUGUCAUAUCCCUACUGUGCAUCAUUGGUUUCUUCUGUGUGAUUCUGAAGAUGAAAGGGUGUUGGGGGAACAGGAAAUACACACCAUCAAAUCCACCCUCAGACUUAUAAUGAGAUGAAAUGGAGAACAUUUGGAUGUAAUGCCUAAAGUACAGACAUUCACCAAACCUGACUAUCAGUACCAAGCAACUUUGAUAAAUACUGUGAUUAAUAAGAAGAUUAAGUUGUGUUAUGCAAGAGAAAUGUAUGUAUAUUUAAUCAAUGUUGUUGUUUAUACAUGAUUAAUUUUGUUAAGUUACAUAGGUUUCCUUAUAUUAUCUUUGCAUAACCUUUAAAUCAUGAGAAAAAUGUAAUUUGUUUGUUGGCGUAUAGAUACAUGUAUGUAACCAUUGCAUGUUUUGAAAACAGAUUUUUUUGUCUUUUAAUGUUUUUAAGAUAUGAUGUUUCUUACAGGACUUUUCAAAAGAGUGCUAACUGUCUAAGAAUGAAAGGGGAUGAACCGAACGGAGGUUAUGCUGUACAUGUAAGGGUCAGAUUUUGAUUGAUGAGCAUGGAGAUAUACAUGUUACCUUUUAUUUUUAUGUCUAAGUAUUGGGUUAUGUACUGUCAUACAUUUGGUAAUAAAAACUCAGAUAUAUUGUU